rnacentral:rRNA from 1 species
CCUACGGGAGGCAGCAGUGGGGAAUUUUGCGCAAUGCACGAAAGACUGAUGCAGCGACGCCGCGUGAAUGACGAAGGCCUUCGGGAUGUAAAGCUCUAUCGACAGGGAAGAAAAUGCCAAUACGUAACCAGGUAGGUACGGCCAACUUCGGUACAGCAGCCGCGGUAAUACGGAGGGGGCGAGCGUACUCCGGAUUUACUGGGUGUAAAGGGGGCGUAGACGGUUGUGUAAGUCGGUAGUGAAAGCCUGGGGCUCAACCUUAGGAUUGCUGUUGAAACUGUGUGACUGGAGUACAGGAGGGGUAGGCGGAAUUCCUGGUGUAGCGGUGAAAUGCGUAGAUAUCAGGAGGAACACCGUUGGCGAAGGCGGCCUGCUGGACUGAAACUGACGCUGAGGCUCGAAAGCGUGGGUAGCAAACAGGAUUAGAUACCCGAGUAGUC